rnacentral:rRNA from 1 species
CCUACGGGAGGCAGCAGUGGGGAAUAUUGCACAAUGGGGGAAACCCUGAUGCAGCGACGCCGCGUGAGUGAAGAAGUACUUCGUUAUGUAAAGCUCUAUCAGCAGGGAAGAAAAUGACGGUACCUGAGUAAGAAGCCACGGCGAACUACGUGCCAGCAGCCGCGGUAAUACGGAGGGGGCAAGCGUUAUCCGGAUUUACUGGGUGUAAAGGGAGCGUAGACGGCAGUGCAAGUCUGGAGGGAAAGGCGGGGGCUCAACCCCCGGACUGCCCUGGAAACUGUACGGCUGGAGUGCAGGAGAGGUAAGUGGAAUGCCUAGUGUAGCGGUGAAAUGCGUAGAUAUUAGGAGGAACACCAGUGGCGAAGGCGGCUUACUGGACUGUAACUGACGUUGAGGCUCGAAAGCGUGGGUAGCAAACAGGAUUAGAUACCCGAGUAGUC